CAAUCGUGGACACCAGAAAUAAGUGCUCGGUGAAGUGAAAACUUCAGAAGAAAAUAAUUCUUAAAGGGCAUGAGAAAAAUAAGCGCUGUGGCGGUAGUCGGUGAGAGGUCUCCAACUCAGGCAAAUACAGUCUCUGCAAAGUGGAACUCAAAAUAUUAACGAGUCACUGCAAGAAAGAAUACAGUGUAAAGGAAAUUUGGAUGGGACUGCAAGUAAAAUCAAUGAAGUCUAUCCAAAUGUAGAUCCUGGAGGAAUACAAUCUGUGUCUCUUACAUCAAGAAAGACUUAGUACUCUCCAAGAAUACCAUUUUGUACCAAGUUCAAACUGGAGGAUCACAAGUCUUUACAUGUGACUUAGGAAACAGGAAGAAGCAACCAAACCAAUCUAAGUGAGGCUUCAUUAAGGAACCCCAAUUUCAUUAUGUUAUGAGCCCUGAUUUAGUCACUGAAACCCUUACCUACAAGGCAUCGGCGAGUUUGGGACUUAAGCAUUUGCUGCCUGAUCCUCCUUGCUUGGGCACUGCAUACCAACACCUUCCUUUCUACAGCUGCAAACCUUCCUUUACAUAUCUGGUUCUACUGUGCCAGAACAAAGAAUUGAUUCAAUGCCAGACUGUCUGGAGCCAGUAGAACUGAAGAAAAUGAUGACUACUAGGGAAUAGAUUUUAAUAUGUGUAAUAUGGUUUAGUUGACCACAAUUAUUAACAAUCAACAUAUCAUAGAAACAAUAUAUUGUUUUCCCUAAUAAUCAGGCCUGGGUCUACAGAGUUGUACUGAGAACAGGAUUAGUGUAGCUGAUGAUAUAUGAAGAGUUAUCUUUGUCACACAGCCUGAAAGAUUAUUAAAUGUCUACUUGGUCAAGCACUUAAAGCAUGCAUUCUUUAGCUAUCCUUUUCUCUCUUAAUUUCUUUUAUAAAAUUCAGGAGAUGUUCUGAUCUCUGAGAAUGUAAAACUUACAAGUGCAAAUUUAAACCUCCAAAUUGAUGAUAAUCUUUUGGUGGAUAUAGGCACAGAAAUAAACAAAAACAAAAAUAAAAAAAAAUUAUGUGUCAACAAAUGCUUAUUUGUCUAUAGGUAGAUUUUGCCAGCCCAGAAAUAGUUUCCUAGGUUUCAGC
rnacentral:lncRNA from 10 species